UGACAGAAGGCUGAUCUCCAAAAUAUAUAAAGAACUCAAGAAACAGACAUCAAAUCACCAAACAAUUCAAAUAAAAAAUGGUGUACAGAUCUAAACAGAGACUCUCAACAGAAGAUUAUCAAAUGCUGAAACAUGUUUAAGGAAUUGCUCAUCAUCCUUAGUCAUCAGGAAAAUACAACUCAGAAUGACCCUGUGAUACCAUCUUACACCUGUCACAUGGCUAAGAUCAAAAACUCUGAUAACAGCCUAUGCUGGAGUGGAUUGGAGUAAGGCAACACUCCUCUGCUGCUGGUGAGAGUCCUGUUUCAUUUUCCAUAAUUGAAAGUUAUACUUUGUUCUGAUGGCCCUAGGAAGAUGUGGAAAUUCAAUAGGAACAUAGCGAGAGGGGCUGUGCUGCCUGCCUGUCAACCCGAAUUCUCCCUCUCACAAUGCCGCUGGCCUUGAGGUCUUCACUGGAGUCAAACAUGGUAGCACUAUGCCCUUAAACUUGCUGAGCUGUGAGACUUUACAACAACCUUAUGAAACUGGAAGGAAGUAACUGGGGCUCAGAGACACAGAGAUCAUACCUCUGAAGAGUUGAUGGAGCCAAUUAGAUGCCGAAAACAAACUUUAAACUUAAUUCCUGUGUGGAUUGAAGAUGCAACACCCACUGUAGUCUCAUGUGUUUGGACACUUGAUCUCCAACUGUUCGUGCUGCUAGGAAAAGUUUUGGAACCUUGGGAAGGCAGUGCUUCACUGGGGGUGCUGGGUCAUUGUAGGAAGGCCUUGAGGGCUUCUAGCUCUGCCCUACUUCCAGUUAACCCUAUGCUCCCUGGCAGCAGAUAAAAUGUGAUCAGCCAGGCUUCUAGUUCCUGCCCUCAUGCUCUCCCCACCGUGAUGAACUGAAGCUGUAAACCAAAAUCAACCCUUCCUUUCUUUAAUGGUUUUUGUUACACAAACAAGUAGCUAAUGCAGUCUCCUAAUUCCAAUUCUAGGUUAAGAUAUUCUGUGAAUCCAUCAUGAUAAUUUUAGUUCUGUUGUCUUCUCUAAUGCAGCCAUCAGGUAACCAAGAAGUAUCUUUUUUGUGGGACAGUGUGAUUGCAUGGAAUAUAGAACUCUGUGGACCUGUAGUACAGAGGGAAAUAAUUGCGUGCAGUGUUCCCUAUUAGUUUUAGCCUUGCAAAUAGGAAGGUCAGUUAAGGGCUUCAACACUUACUCUACGGUUACUCUGUUUUCUGCUUGUUAUCAAGAGAAAGUAGUGUACAGAAACAGAAAUGCAUUUCAAACUUCUUUAUGGUCCAGAUAAUAUUGUCUAAUUGGUUAUCUUACUGAGUUCUCUCAAAUACGUGGGGCUAUUAUUUCAAGUAAAACACCAUCCCCCUCAGAGAAUAGAUAUAGUGGGUUAGCUGAGUGGGUUGACAUAUCUGAGUGGGAUGAAAAGCACACUCAUAUUCAGUAAACAAUAGAUAUAAGAUCUGCCUCAAUUACCUAUAUGUAAGGCCCUUUCUUUGCUUGGAAUAUAUCCCUUCAUCACUCAGCUUAUUUUGUCUUGUCCAGAUUGGAAUCCAUGUACUUCUAUAGUCUCCUAUAUUUUUUAUUGCUCCCUACUUGUACAACACAUUAGAUUGCUGGUUCUUGUAUUCUGUUGACUAGCCCAGGUGCUCACUGACACCUGCUACAUACACAGAAGAGAGGCAUAGGAUCCAUAUACCAUAGAAAUAUAAGAAACCUCAAGUCACUAAUAGAUCAAAGAAUUCCAUGUGCAUUGACCCCAUACAUUGUGCUCAAUGAGUUACAGUGAUGACAUUUAUUCUUCCCUAGGGACCAGUUUUAAAACAUUUAAAUGUUGAAGCCAGAAGAGAUUUGAAUCCCAUCAAUCCAUCCUCAUCCUACUACAAAGAAGAAAAACGAAGCCUUAUCUCAGAACCAACUGGCACAAGGCUACAAACCUUGCUAAACUUCAAGAUUGUUGAUUAUUGUUUCCCAAAUCAGUGCACAGAAAAAGAUAGCCAGGAGGUACAGCAAUUGUUAGGGAAAACCAUGGUUGAUGUGUGAAACAGAAAGUGACUCUGAAAAUGGGUUAUCCAGGCACUGUUGCUAAGAAACUCACGCUGUGUCUGUGUAUCCAUCAUGGAAAGGGAGGCUUCAGUGAUUCAUUGACUUCAGCCCAGUUAGCUAUAGUGUACAAGAACAUAGACUCUGAAACUUUUACAGAUCUACUUCCUUUGACAAGGUUUUAAACACCUCAUGGCUCUUUAUUUACAAAGAUGAAGAUUGGGCCUACUGCUGCCUCUUGCUUUCUGCUUCUUGGAGAAUGUUUGAGGAUCCAGUUUCUUCCUACAGAAAACCAUCUGCACUCCUGUAGAUAAACGGGAUCUCUAUGGGCCCACAUGCAAAUUUGCAAAGAUCUCAUGAAAGCAGAGAUGGGUCAAAAAUCUGAUAAGAGGAAUUUAUAGAAAUAUACAUUCACAAUAAACUAGGAUCUCUGUUUUCUGAAGGCUUUUGAAAAAUCACCCUCCAUAAAUGAAGUCAAUUUGUAUGGCUUUUUAAAUUAAGAAUUUGUCUACUUUGGAAAUCACACUUUUACAAAUAACAGGUAUUUGUAAAAUUGGGCAGGACCAGACUUGGAGCCUGGAGAGCAGGGUCCACUAUC
ensembl:lncRNA